AAAAAAUGUCACAGGUAGACAAUCAGGAAUCAUAUUCUCGACAUCAAUAUUAGAAGACAGAAGAGAAUGUAGCAAUGUCUUCAAAAUUCUGAGAAAAUAGAAUUUUCAACCUAGAAUUCCCUUCAGCUAAACUAUGAAAUAAAUAGGAGGCGAAGAUAAAGACGUUUUUAGAUGUGUGAGUACUCAAAAGUUUGCCUCCAAGUAGUCUUUCUAAGGAGGUUACUGAAGGACAUGCGUUAGUACAAUGAAGAAGCACAUCAACAACCAAUAAGAGAUGAUAUCCAAAAAGUGAGGAAUCCAGUACAGGAGAGAGGUGUGGGGAACUCCCGCGUGAUGACAAAGGCAAUGGGGGGACAGCCGGCGCAGAGUAAGCCGGCAAGUACCAGGCUGAACUGGAGAAGACAGAGGGCGCCCACAAAUAAAGAUGGGCAAUUCUGAGAAAAUAUUUAUACUGCUGACAUAAUGUUGGGAUAUAAAUGGAUAUUAGGUCCCUGGAAAACUAAGGAAGUGAGAGGAAGAGAGGGAGAAGAUUGAUUCUGUCAUCCACACCAAGGAACAUAAAAAGAAGGCGCAGGAAAGGAGAUGUAAACCAACAUUUCCAACAGGAAAGUUAAAUUUAAAACAAUGUGGCUCAGCAGACCAGGUUCUCCUGAGAUGCCAGGCAGCAGUGCAGAUUGGAGGGUUGGAAGGCUAUUCUGAUACACCUGAGGAAAGCAUAAAACACACAGAUUAUUCUAUUGGUCUACCACUCCCUCCAAGGACCCCAGGAGGAUGUGGAAUUGAUGCAUCAUCCCAGAAGCACUCUAAAGACUACCCAGCAGGACUUUCCAACAGCCAGAGUGGACAUCCUAUAAAGCCUCGCUUCACAUCUGGGUCACAAAAAGAUGGAAGAGACUCAGUGCUGUCUGAAAAACCGUGCAGCUCCUGA
rnacentral:lncRNA from 1 species